UUCACUCCUGCAGAUCUCGACCUCAGGAGCGGCCGCUUCGGCGACCACUCGGUGCGCCGGGUGUUCCUGGACCCCUGCAGCAAGCACUGCUUCGCCACGGUGAUCCACCCAGGCGGUGCUGAGAUGUGUUACCACCACUCCAGCCUCAAUUUCGUGGAUCUCGUGGUGCAAAAGCAAGAAUCGAGUGGAUCUGCUGGGAUGUGGAGAGGCAGCUGGUGUUCUUUUUCCUUUCUCGAUUAUAAUGCUCUAUCAUGUGUGAUUCUUGGUUGAAUUGAGCUCUAACUGUGUAUAGAUAUACCAGUAAUUGUGUGUGUAUAUAUAGCAGGUCACAUUUCAUUUGCUGGUUGUAGUACUACUGUUCACCUGCUGGCCUAUAGGAGAGCGAAGAAUGGCUGGUGUGAUAGUAUUGGUUCUGUGGAAGAUAUCCAAACAAAACUUUUAAAGUGGCAGGAAGCUGCAGCUAAACGCGAGCGAGCCAUGGCCUAGGCUCUUACUCAUCAGGUAUUUUGUGACAAGCUUGAAAUAGAAACACCUGCAGAAAUAACUGUGAUUGAAGUCAGCAAGCUAAGUUGGAAACAAAACACAUGCUUUUGCUAAGUCAAAGCUAAGCAACAAGGUGGCAUGUUAGCUUCUGGUGGAACUUCAACCUUUUGCAGGAACAAAACUUUGCUGUUGUAGCUUCAUGUACCUUUGGUUGUUUCCGCUCCUUUUUGUUGUCUUUUGUCCUAAGCCUUUUUAUUGUUUCUGAUCCUUGAAUGUUGCGCUGCUAGUGCUACUGGUUGGAAAAACUGUAUGUGAUCCCUUAUUUUGAUGUUAUUCUGGAUGGAAUAUGGAAUAUUAUGGUCAUAUAUUUUGGUCUGGUA